CCUGACGCAGCAACGCCGCGUGGAGGAUGACACUUUUCGGAGCGUAAACUCCUUUUCUUAGGGAAGAAUUCUGACGGUACCUAAGGAAUAAGCACCGGCUAACUCCGUGCCAGCAGCCGCGGUAAUACGGAGGGUGCAAGCGUUACUCGGAAUCACUGGGCGUAAAGGGCGCGUAGGCGGAUUAUCAAGUCUCUUGUGAAAUCUAAUGGCUUAACCAUUAAACUGCUUGGGAAACUGAUAGUCUAGAGUGAGGGAGAGGCAGAUGGAAUUGGUGGUGUAGGGGUAAAAUCCGUAGAUAUCACCAAGAAUACCCAUUGCGAAGGCGAUCUGCUGGAACUCAACUGACGCUAAGGCGCGAAAGCGUGGGGAGCAAACAGGAUUAGAUACCCUGGUAGUCCACGCCCUAAACGAUGUACACUAGUUGUUGGGGUGCUAGUCAUCUCAGUAAUGCAGCUAACGCAUUAAGUGUACCGCCUGGGGAGUACGGUCGCAAGAUUAAAACUCAAAGGAAUAGACGGGGACCCGCACAAGCGGUGGAGCAUGUGGUUUAAUUCGAAGAUACGCGAAGAACCUUACCUGGGCUUGAUAUCCUAAGAACCUUUUAGAGAUAAGAGGGUGCUAGCUUGCUAGAACUUAGAGACAGGUGCUGCACGGCUGUCGUCAGCUCGUGUCGUGAGAUGUUGGGUUAAGUCCCGCAACGAGCGCAACCCACGUAUUUAGUUGCUAACGGUUCGGCCGAGCACUCUAAAUAGACUGCCUUCGUAAGGAGGAGGAAGGUGUGGACGACGUCAAGUCAUCAUGGCCCUUAUGCCCAGGGCGACACACGUGCUACAAUGGCAUAUACAAUGAGACGCAAUACCGCGAGGUGGAGCAAAUCUAUAAAAUAUGUCCCAGUUCGGAUUGUUCUCUGCAACUCGAGAGCAUGAAGCCGGAAUCGCUAGUAAUCGUAGAUCAGCCAUGCUACGGUGAAUACGUUCCCGGGUCUUGUACUCACCGCCCGUCACACCAUGGGAGUUGAUUUCACUCGAAGCCGGAAUACUAAACUAGUUACCGUCCACAGUGGAAUCAGCGACUGGGGUGAAGUCGUAACAAGGUAACCGUAGGAGAACCUGCGGUUGGAUCACCUCCUUUCUA
rnacentral:rRNA from 1 species